rnacentral:rRNA from 1 species
UGGCGGACGGGUGAGUAACGCGUGGGCAACCUGCCCCGUGCCGGGGGAUACCGCCUGGAAACAGGCGCUAAUACCGCAUAAGCGCAUACAGCCGCAUGGCAGUAUGCGGAAAGCUCCGGCGGCACGGAAUGGGCCCGCGCCCGAUUAGCCAGUUGGCGGGGUAACGGCCCACCAAAGCGACGAUCGGUAGCCGGCCUGAGAGGGCGGACGGCCACAUUGGGACUGAGACACGGCCCAAACUCCUACGGGAGGCAGCAG